rnacentral:rRNA from 1 species
CUACGGGCGGCAGCAGUGGGGAAUAUUGCACAAUGGAGGAAACUCUGAUGCAGCAACGCCGCGUGGAGGAUGACACUUUUCGGAGCGUAAACUCCUUUUAUAUAAGAAGAAGAUGACGGUACUAUAUGAAUAAGCGACGGCUAACUCCGUGCCAGCAGCCGCGGUAAUACGGAGGGCGCAAGCGUUACUCGGAAUCACUGGGCGUAAAGAGCGUGUAGGCGGAUUAAAAAGUCAGAAGUGAAAUCCUAUAGCUUAACUAUAGAACUGCUUCUGAAACUCUUAAUCUAGAAUAUGGGAGAGGUAGAUGGAAUUUCUGGUGUAGGGGUAAAAUCCGUAGAGAUCAGAAGGAAUACCGAUUGCGAAGGCGAUCUACUAGAACAUUAUUGACGCUGAGACGCGAAAGCGUGGGGAGCAAACAGGAUUAGAUACCCCAGUAGUC